CUCAAGGAGAUUCCAGCCUGCUGGGGAAAAUGGCAACCUGGCAGGGAACUUCAGCUGCUGACAAAGUCAGAGGCCCCAGGUCAAAGAUCACGCCUCACAGACUGUGGCCUUAAAAACACGCCAGCGUACAUUGAUCGGUCGUGACAAACAAUCACUGCGGCAUUCCUGCUGCUGAAAGUGGGAUACAAGAAACAGCAGUGGCAACAUCAUCAGAGAGCGCCUCGGCAAUGCAGAGUCUCAGCCCCCAGGUCUUCUUUCAUCAUACAGAUCCUGUACAUGUUUUAUUUUCCUUGGAAAACCUGCAAGUUCCUGACGCUUAGAUCAUAACAUCGUUGGAAUUUCCCCAAUGAUCCGGUGGGAAAGAAAGUCAAGUUCUGACCAGCGAGGAGUAGAGGCUUGGUGAUGAUUCAAGAGACAAAGAGAAAGAGCUGAGAAACAAAAAGAAGAAGUCACCUUAACAAUGGGAGAAACACUGCCCUUGUCGGUACCAAUCUGAAUGGGAGCCAAGAAAGGCUUUAAAUGAGUUGGAGACCAGAGAAAAAUAGUCAAAUAUGGUAAACCCAGAUAAGAGCAAAGUGAAAGCCUCUGGCUGUGAAAACCAAGACUAGGAAAUGAUUUUUUUCAAGAAAAAAAUUAAAAAACAGAGUUACUUCUCCUGUGUUAUUGUUUGUUCCUUGGACUCAUUUUGAUUAGGCUACCGCAAACUGGCCACUGUUUCAAGGCAGACUCUCUCAAAGGCUGGACAAUUACUAUGUUAUUGUCUCUUGGUAUUACAUGAAUGUCACCAUGUGACAUGUUUUCAUAUGAAUAAUAAAGUAACACCAUUAACAUCCAGAAAAGGGGAAACUGAGUCAACAAACAAAGGAAAGCUCUGUAACUUGCUAUGCCAUCACUCUGUAUCUGAUUGAUAACUUUGAGCUUCCUACUUAGCAUUUAUCUUAAUUAUUAUAUAUGUCUUGAAAGUGUAAUAGUAUAAAAGUAGUGUUUAUCCAUUCUGUCUAGAGGGAAGAAAUCACUUGUCAAAUAAACUUCCAAAAUAAACAGUCUUGCUAAUUUAAUUAAAAACCAAUGCAUAAAUCCUUGUGUAGUACAAGGACAUUGUGUAGAGAGAGAAGGAUCCCAGUCAUGAACAACGGAAACAUCACUCUAGUUCUGAUUGGAACCAAGCUUUAAUAAAACAAAAUGAGUGUAUAUUCCAAUACAUGCCUGGAUAAUGGAUAUAUCCUUGCAAGCAGGUCCUUGAGCCCUGUACAGUUUAUGAGCAAACCGUAUCUAUUAAAACCAGCAAAUUACAUCUAUUUUUCUUCACAAGCAAAUUGUAUCUAUUUUUCUGUUCUGACAAAAAAUCAGACCCUCAUCAAUUCACAUACAGUUCAUUAAAAUAGGCUCCCAUUUUUGGUGACUGUUCUCACCUACAGUCCUAUACAAAUCCAUAAUAAUAAUUGUUCUAAUUCCUAGCAAUUUCAGCCCAUUGUGAUCAUUCCCACAAAAGAUCCCUUUGGAUAUUUACUUCUCAUGUGACUCAAUUACUGUAGGAUUACAGGGUUUUUUCCUAGAAAUUCUAUGUUUUGUUCUGCAUUGUUGCUGAUCUAUCCGAUGCUGUAGGUUGCUUAGCCAAAAGCCCUGGAUAUGGAAUACAUGAUCUAUGUUACAUAUAAAAUUUAAAAAAUAAUGAGAAAUUUUGUUGACUCAUGGUGCUUCACAUUACCAUAAAUGACAUAAACCCUUUAAAAUAGAUUCAUUUUUCAAAGUUCUUAAUGACUUUGAAUUAGACAUUAAGACUUGGAAUAUCAUUGAAUAGACAUUAAGGAAGGUGUGUGGUACAAGCCUGGAUAAGACAUAGGCUCUGCUUUGUCCACAGCCUGACACUACUACGGAAACAUACAAAUACCACAAAGAAUAACAAACAUGACAGCGAUGCUGGAAAUACGAGUGCCCCUGCAUUUUCAGAGAGACAGGAAGGGAUUCACAGGCAGACAACACUUGCAUCUGGUCUCAAAGGCUGAGAACAUUCCAGGUCCAAAAGACAACCCUUGCCAAACUAUCCAGGAACAACAGAGAAUCAUGAAAUGUCAAAAAUCAAGCACAGUGCAGUGCCAGUUGAAUCUGGAGCAGAAAGCAUGGCUGGUUACUGGGUCAGAAUUUAACCAUCAACAGAUGGUUACAAAUUGUUUCUUUUCUCAAAUUUUAAUGUAAGGAAAAAUUCAAAAUAAAUUUGAAAUUAUAUACAUGAAACAUUUCUUGUACAUUUAAGCAAAUGUGUAUACUUGAAAUGUGGAGUUCAUAUUUAAGAGCAAAGAAUUCUAAGAAUGAUACGUUCAUUACAACUCCCUUAAAUAAAAAUAAAAUAAUGUAUAAUUCAGACUGUUGGAAACUUUCACGUAUAAUCAAUGUGUAGCCUAAAAUGAGUCUACAGUGCAUAUCCAUGAGCUGCUCCACACACUGCUGCUUUCUCACCUGGGUUUUGCUGUUGAGAAACCCAAAGCCAUUCUAUUUCUGAUUCCUUGUACAUCACUUUUCCCCACCUCUCUGGAAGCUUUUGGAAUCAUCUUUCAUCAUUAAUGGAUUAAAAUAUCUCAGUAAUCCAUCUAGGAGUAGGGAUAGUUUUGUCAAUUCCAGGAACAUUUCUUGAAAUAUUCCAUUACAAUUUCCUUCCUCUUUUCUCUGUCUCUUUUAGUAAGUCAGAAGUAAAUAAAUAUUCUGAAUUUGAUAGAUAACACAUAUAAAUAUAGAACAUUAUACUAUUUAUAAAACAAAGUAUGUUUAUAAAAAUAGAUAAUUUACAAAUUUUAAGAUUUACAAUACAUAUGUAUUUUUCCAAGAAUGAGUUUAAUGAUAUGCUUCUCAGCUUCAGGAUCUAAAUAAAUGUUCAAAUAAUUUUAUCAAUGUUUUUUACAUUGUCAAAGGAGAUAAACUUUUGUCCUAGGAUAUUUUCGUUCAGAUCACUUAUAAAUUAUGAAGUAUACUUUGGCAAAACAUGCAUGACCUCUGUUUUCAUAUUUUAAAGAUUUUCUGUCUUUUGGAUGUGUGGCCACUGAUAAAAUAUAACAAGAGUGACCCAUCAGAACGAUACUGUUAAAAUGAGUAUUGUGAUUUCAAGACCAGUUUCAAGAUAUGCACCUUAGAAAUAAACAACUGAGCUAUCAGUGUAACUGAUAUUAAAAAUACACUGUAAGCACAUAUGACUAUCAGCAUUCUCUUACCUAAAGAGACUCAGGAUACUUAACCUGGCAUCAGUAGACAGACAUUUUUGGAAGUGCUUAAACUCCAGGAACUAUUACACAGAGUUUGCAUGUAUAUGUUUUACAGGGGUGCAAAUUUUCAAAGCAAUAUGUGUCCCUAAGAAUUACUAUCUAGCAAAAUACCCUGUAACCUUUCUUGCCCGUGCCACUGAAUGCAGCUUUUUCCCUGCCCCCGUCUGUUUCUCUCUUAAUUUUCUUCUCUGACUUCCACAUAAAGAGACAGGUUUUCUACAUCCCUUUUGUAAGGACAAAAAAAAAAUUAUCUUAAAUUCCCUUGGUCUUUCAUAAGGGAGUGCACAGCAAUGAGGCCCAACUGCCAUCCGGAACAUUAAGUUAAAUUCUGAAGGGUCUCUGGUACCUGAACAUAUAGAAUCUAUAGUUUUAAUUUAUAGAAAAUUGUUUUAAAAUGUGCUAUAACCUAUGGACUCUCAAUAUAUAGUCUCCCUCUCCUAUUUGUGAAACAAAUGUGUCUUCUGAAACAAAUGACACAUAGAAAAAGGAAGUUAUUCAAAUAAUCACCUGUGAAUGUAAUAUUAAUAUGUACCUGAUACACAUGAAAAUUAGACAUAUAUCAGUUAUUUAAGAGAUUUAACAGAAACUGUGAUUUGGAAAGUUCGAUAAUCUAAAGCACCCAGUAAUAAGCGAGGUACUUGCAGUGUGGAAUUACUGAAGGUAUUUUAAUGCAUGCCUGUUUAAGAAAAUGAGCUUUUUUUAUCCAGUCUAUCAUUGAUAGGCAUUUGGAUUGGUUGCAAGUCUUUGCUAUUAUAGUGCCACAAUAAACAUAUGUGUGCAUGUGUCUUUAUAAGUGAAUGUUUUCUAAUCCUUAAUUGGGGAGGGAUAAACUUGGAGAAAUACCUAAUGUCAAUGAAAAGGGGAUGGAUGCAGCAAACCACCAUGGCAUGUGUAUACUAUGUAACAAACCUGCACAAUCUGCACAUGUACCCCAGAACUUAAAGUAUAAUAAAAAAAAUUAAA